AUUGAACGCUGGCGGCAGGCUUAACACAUGCAAGUUGAGCGAGCGGCGGACGGGUGCGUAAUGUCUGGGAAACUGCCUGAUGGAGGGGGAUAACUACUGGAGACGGUAGCUAAUACCGCAUACCAUCAGAUUCGCCCAGAUGGGAUUAGCGAGUAGGUGGGGCAAUGGCUCACCUGGUCGACGAUCCCUAGCUGGUCUGAGAGGAGGACCAGCCACAAUGGAACUGAGACACGGUCCAGAAUCCUACGGGAGGCAGCAGUGGGGAAUAUUGCACAGUGGGCGCAAGCCUGAUGCAGCCAUGCCGCGUGUGUGAAGAAGGCCUUCGGAUUGUAAAGCACUUUCAGCGGGGAGGCGUUACUCGAAGAAGAAGCACCGGCUAACUCCGUGCCAGCCGCCGCGGUAAUAC
rnacentral:rRNA from 1 species